rnacentral:rRNA from 1 species
AGACCUGACGCAUAGCCGAAUGAGGCGAAUUGGAUGAUCCUAUGCUGCCGAGAAAAGCCUCUAGCGAGUUCCGAGCGGCCCGUACCCCAAACCAACUCAGGUGGUCAGGUAGAGAAUACCAAGGCGAUCGAGCGAACUGUGGUUAAGGAACUCGGCAAAAUGCCCCCGUAACUUCGGGAGAAGGGGGGCCCCUGCCGGUGAUGGAACGUGCUUCCUGAGCUGGUGUGGGCCGCAGAGACCAGUGAGAAGCGACUGUUUACUAAAAACACAGGUCCGUGCGAAGUCGUAAGACGAUGUAUACGGACUGACGCCUGCCCGGUGCUGGAACGUUAAGGGGACGGGUUAGCCGCAAGGCGAAGCUCAGAACUCAAGCGCCAGUAAACGGCGGUGGUAACUAUAACCAUCCUAAGGUAGCGAAAUUCCUUGUCGGGUAAGUUCCGACCUGCACGAAUGGCGUAACGACUUCUCAGCUGUCUCAACCACAGGCUCGGCGAAAUUGCACUACGAGUAAAGAUGCUCGUUACGCGCGGCAGGACGAAAAGACCCCGGGACCUUCACUACAGCUUGGUAUUGGUGUUCGGUUCGGUUUGUGUAGGAUAGGUGGGAGACUGUGAAGCGGUGACGCCAGUUACUGUGGAGUCGUUGUUGAAAUACCACUCUGAUCGUAUUGGAUACCUCAACCUCGGACCAUGAUCUGGUUCAGGGACAGUGCCUGGUGGGUAGUUUAACUGGGGCGGUUGCCUCCUAAAAUGUAACGGAGGCGCCCAAAGGUUCCCUCAGCCUGGUUGGCAAUCAGGUGUCGAGUGCAAGUGCACAAGGGAGCUUGACUGUGAGACUGACAAGUCGAGCAGGGACGAAAGUCGGGACUAGUGAUCCGGCACCGGCAAGUGGAAGCGGUGUCGCUCAACGGAUAAAAGGUACCCCGGGGAUAACAGGCUGAUCUUCCCCAAGAGUCCAUAUCGACGGGAUGGUUUGGCACCUCGAUGUCGGCUCGUCGCAUCCUGGGGCUGGGGGAGGUCCCAAGGGGUGGGCUGUUCGCCCAUUAAAGCG